rnacentral:misc_RNA from 1 species
UCUCCGUUGGUGAACCAGCGGAGGGAUCAUUACCGAGUUUACAACUCCCAAACCCAAUGUGAACGUUACCAAACUGUUGCCUCGACGGGGUCACGCCCCGGGUGCGUCGCAGCCCCGGAACCAGGCGCCCGCCGGAGGAACCAACCAAACUCUUUCUGUAGUCCCCUCGCGGACGUUAUUUCUUACAGCUCUGAGCAAAAAUUCAAAAUGAAUCAAAACUUUCAACAACGGAUCUCUUGGUUCUG